rnacentral:rRNA from 1 species
UACGGAGGGUGCGAGCGUUGUUCGGAAUUACUGGGCGUAAAGCGCGUGUAGGCGGCCUUCUAAGUCUGGUGUGAAAGCCCGGGGCUCACCCCCGGAAGUGCACUGGAAACUGGGAGACUAGAGUACCGGAGAGGAGGGUGGAAUUCCUGGUGUAGCGGUGAAAUGCGUAGAUAUCAGGAGGAACACCGGUGGCGAAGGCGGCCCUCUGGACGGAUACUGACGCUGAGGAGCGAAAGCGUGGGUAGCAAACAG